GGUCCCAUAUCUCAGUUGGUCAGAGCGUCGUACUAAUAUUAUAGUUACCCUAUAACAUCUGUAAUGCGAAGGCCGUGAGUUCAAGCCUCACUGGGACCA